rnacentral:rRNA from 1 species
GAUCCUGGCUCAGGAUGAACGCUAGCUACAGGCUUAACACAUGCAAGUCGAGGGGCAGCAUGGUCUUAGCUUGCUAAGACUGAUGGCGACCGGCGCACGGGUGAGUAACACGUAUCCAACCUGCCGUCUACUCUUGGACAGCCUUCUGAAAGGAAGAUUAAUACAAGAUGGCAUCAUGAGUCCGCAUGUUCACAUGAUUAAAGGUUUACCGGUGUAAGAUGGGGA